rnacentral:sRNA from 1 species
AGAGUAUACAUUGACCUCCAGCAUGUGA